GGAGGAGUGGCCGAGCGGUCUAAGGCGACGGUUUUGAAAACCGUUGAACGCAAGUUCCGGGGGUUCGAAUCCCUCCUCCUCCGCCA
rnacentral:tRNA from 1 species